UACAGAGGUCUCGAGCGUUGUUCGGAUUCAUUGGGCGUAAAGGGUGCGUAGGUGGCGCUGUAAGUCGGGUGUGAAAUCCUGAGGCUUAAUCUCGGAACUGCAUUCGAUACUGCGGCGCUUGAGGACUGGAGAGGAGACUGGAAUUCAUGGUGUAGCAGUGAAAUGCGUAGAGAUCAUGAGGAAGACCAGUGGCGAAGGCGGGUCUCUGGGCCGAUACUGACGCUGAGGAGCGAAAGCGUGGGGAGCGAACAGG
rnacentral:rRNA from 1 species